rnacentral:ncRNA from 2 species
ACAAUUCCUGAGAUUACAAGGUCUUAACGUACUAUUACAAAAGAAGGAAACUGGUGUGAACCCAGUGCUGUUCCCGCAACUGUAAACGAUAUUAUAUCGUGAGUCAGACACUUCCAUAGAUUUGCUUUUUCGG